AAAUGUUAAAUAGAUUAGACUAUAUUCAAUUACGGUUUGAAGUGAUAUACAUUUU
rnacentral:tRNA from 1 species